GGGGCGUACGGUGGAUGCCUGGGCAUCAGACGCUGAAGAAGGACGUGGGAGGCCGCGAUAGGCCUGGGGGAGCUGUCAACCGAGCUGUGAUCCCAGGGUGUCCGAAUGGGGAAACCCGGCCGGGGUGAUGCCCGGUCACCGGUGCCUGAACAGUGGUAUAGGGCAUCGGGAGGCACGGGGGGAACUGAAACAUCUCAGUACCUCCAGGAGGAGAAAACAAACAGUGAUUCCCUCAGUAGUGGUGAGCGAACGGGGAGCAGGCUAAACCGGGUGCGUGGGCGAGUCGGCAGACGGUGCGUGCCCGGGGUUGUGGGAGUGUGUGGUGUCUGUGCUGCCGCGCAGGCGCGUGUGCCCGAUGGUGAGCCGAAGGUGUUGGAAGGCACCGGCGCAGUGGGUGAGACCCCCGUAGGUGAACACGGUCGGGUGGGCGUGCACGCAUGUCCCGAGUAGCGCGGGGCCCGGGAAAUCCCGUGUGAAUCGGCCAGGACCGCCUGGUAAGCCUAAAUACGUCUGGUGACCGAUAGUGGAUGUGUACCGUGAGGGACUGGUGAAAAGUACCCCGGGAGGGGAGUGAAAGAGUUCCUGAAACCGUGCGCCCACAAGCCGUCAGAGCAUCCCCGUGCGGGGGUGUGAUGGCGUGCCUUUUGAAGAAUGAGCCUGCGAGUUAGUGGUGCGUGGCGAGGUUAACCCGUGAGGGGAAGCCGCAGCGAAAGCGAGUCCGAACAGGGCGGGACAGUCGCGUGCUCUAGACCCGAAACCGAGUGAGCUACCCGUGGCCAGGGUGAAGCGCGGGUAAGACCGUGUGGAGGCCCGCACCCACCAGGGUUGAAAACCUGGGGGAUGAGCUGCGGGUAGGGGNGAAAGGCCAAUCAAACUCGGAGAUAGCUGGUUCUCCCCGAAAUGCAUUUAGGUGCAGCGUCGUGACAGGCCUGGUGCUGGUAGAGCGACUGGAUGGCGAAGGGCCCGGUGCGGGUACUGACGUCAACCAAACUCCGAAUGGUGUCAGGCAGUGCGCGGCAGUGAGUCCCUGGGGGACAAGCUCCAGGGUCGAGAGGGAAACAGCCCAGAUCACCGGCUAAGGCCCCCAAGUGUGUGCUGAGUGGAAAAGGAUGUGGGAUCGCCGAGACAACCAGGAGGUUGGCUUAGAAGCAGCCAUCCUUGAAAGAGUGCGUAACAGCUCACUGGUCAAGUGAUCCUGCGCCGAUAAUAUAGCGGGGCUUGCAAGCACACCGCCGAAGCCGUGGCACCGCCCCUGGCGGGGUGGUGGGUAGGGGAGCAUCCCUCACCGCGGUGAAGCAUCCCCGUAAGGGGGUGUGGAGUGUGGGGGAGUGAGAAUGCAGGCAUGAGUAGUGCUAGGACAGUGAGAAUCUGUCCCGCCGAAUGACCAAGGGUUCCAGGGCCAGGCUGAUCCGCCCUGGGUGAGUCGGAUCCUAAGGCGAGGCCGACAGGCGUAGUCGACAGGACAACGGGUUGAUAUUCCCGUACCCGCCUUGACACGUCCCAUACCAGCCCCCACGACACCAGCAUCAACCGGUGGGCCCGGUCUCGUUCGCGAGACCACGGCUGGACCGGUGGUGGUGUGUGUGGUGGGUGUGUUGGUCAGCGACGGGGUGACGCAGAAGGGUAGCCCAACCCGGGCGAUGGUGGUUCCCGGGGUAACGGUGUAGCCGGCCGGCCCAGGCAAAUCCGGGCCGGCGUCGACGGUGAGACCGGAGGCCGAGCCAGUGUGGCGAAGUGGGUAAGCCCCGGCUGCCGAGAAAAGCCUCUAGCGAGUGUGAGGGCGGUCCGUACCCGAAACCGACACAGGUGGUCUGGUAGAGCAUACCGAGGCGAGCGGGCGAACCGUGGUUAAGGAAUUCGGCAACAUGUCCCCGUAACUUCGGGAGAAGGGGAGCCGCCGCUGGUGACCCCCCCUGCGGGGUGAGCUGGCAGCGGCCGCAGAGAAUGGGCCCAAGCGACUGUUUACUAAAAACACAGGUCCGUGCGAAGUCGUAAGACGCGGUAUACGGACUGACGCCUGCCCGGUGCCGGAACGUUAAGGGGAGCCGUGAACCCCCCACGAGGGGGUGUGGCGGCGAACCGAAGCGCCGGUAAACGGCGGNGGUAACUAUAACCAUCCUAAGGUAGCGAAAUUCCUUGUCGGGUAAGUUCCGACCUGCACGAAUGGCGUAACGACUUGGGCGCUGUCUCGACCACGGACCCGACGAAAUUGCACGACGAGUUAAGAUGCUCGUUUCGCGCGGCAGGACGGAAAGACCCCGGGACCUUUACUACAGCUUGGUAUGGGCGUCCGCGGCGGCUUGUGUAGGAUAGGUGGGAAACUGGGAAGGUCACACGCCAGUGUGGCCGGAGUUGCUGGUGAAAUACCACUCUGGUCGUUGUGGGCGUCUAACCUCGGUCCGUCACCCGGACCAGGGACAGUGCCUGGUGGGUAGUUUAACUGGGGCGGUUGCCUCCCAAACAGUAACGGAGGCGCCCAACGGUUCCCUCAGCCUGGACGGAAACCAGGUGACGAGUGCAAGUGCACAAGGGAGCUUGACUGUGAGACCGACAGGUCAAGCAGGUGCGAAAGCAGGGACUAGUGAUCCGGCACCGGCACGCGGACGCGGUGUCGCUCAACGGAUAACAGGUACCCCGGGGAUAACAGGCUGAUCUUGCCCAAGAGUCCCUAUCGACGGCAUGGUUUGGCACCUCGAUGUCGGCUCGUCGCAUCCUGGGGCUGAAGUCGGUCCCAAGGGUUGGGCUGUUCGCCCAUUAAAGCGGCACGCGAGCUGGGUUUAGAACGUCGUGAGACAGUUCGGUCCCUAUCCGCCGCGCGCGCACGGAGACGUGCGGGGAGCUGUCCCCAGUACGAGAGGACCGGGACGGACGAACCUCUAGUCUGCCAGUUGUCCCGCCAGGGGCAGGGCUGGUUCGCUACGUUCGGCACGGAUAACCGCUGAAAGCAUCUAAGCGGGAAGCCCACCCCAAGACCACGUCUCCCACCCCCCACCGGGGGGAUAAGGCCCCCAGCAGACGACUGGGUCGAUAGGCCCGACAUGCACCCACAGCAAUGUGCUCAGUGGACGGGUACUAACCGGCCGAACGACGAACAC
rnacentral:rRNA from 1 species